rfam:Anaerotruncus colihominis DSM 17241 Scfld_02_19 genomic scaffold, whole genome shotgun sequence.
AGAGCGGGCCGGACGGCGGCGCGCCCCAUGGGCGUGAGGAAAGUCCGGGCUUCACAGGGCGGGAUACCUGCUAACGGCAGGCCGGGGCGACCCGAGGGAAAGUGCAACAGAAAGAUACCGCCGCGUUUUGCGGUAAGGAUGGAAAGGCGAGGUAAGAGCUCACCGGGAUGCGGGCAACCGCAUUGCCAUGUAAACCCUAUCCGAAGCAACGCCAACUGGGACAAUGCGGCUGCCCGCCGGGUCCCGAAAGGCGGCUGGAGCCGCGCGGCGACGCGCAGCCAAGAAAGAUCGUCGUCCACGACAGAACCCGGCUUACAGGCUCCCUCUCUAU